UACGGAGGGUCCAAGCGUUAAUCGGAAUUACUGGGCGUAAAGCGCGCGUAGGCGGCUAUUUAAGUCGGAUGUGAAAGCCCUGGGCUCAACCUGGGAACUGCAUACGAUACUGGAUGGCUAGAGUAUGGUAGAGGGUGGUAGAAUUUCUUGUGUAGCGGUGAAAUGCGUAGAUAUAAGAAGGAAUACCGGUGGCGAAGGCGGCCACCUGGACCAAUACUGACGCUGAGGUGCGAAAGCGUGGGGAUCAAAC
rnacentral:rRNA from 1 species